AGCGAACGCUGGCGGCAGGCUUAACACAUGCAAGUCGAACGGGCACUUCGGUACUAGUGGCAGACGGGUGAGUAACGCGUGGGAACGCGCCUUUCGGUUCGGAAUAAUCCAGGGAAACUUGGACUAAUACCGGAUACGCCCUUCGGGGGAAAGAUUUAUCGCCGAAAGAUCGGCCCGCGUCUGAUUAGCUAGUUGGUGAGGUAAAGGCUCACCAAGGCGACGAUCAGUAGCUGGUCUGAGAGGAUGAGCAGCAACAUUGGGACUGAGACACGGCCCAAACUCCUACGGGAGGCAGCAGUGGGGAAUAUUGGACAAUGGGCGCAAGCCUGAUACAGCCAUGCCGCGUGAGUGAUGAAGGCCUUAGGGUUGUAAAGCUCUUUUGUCCGGGAAGAUAAUGACUGUACCGGAAGAAUAAGCCCCGGCUAACUUCGUGCCAGCCGCCGCCGUAA
rnacentral:rRNA from 1 species